rnacentral:rRNA from 1 species
CCUACGGGAGGCAGCAGUGGGGAAUAUUGGGCAAUGGAGGAAACUCUGACCCAGCGACGCCGCGUGCGGGAUGAAGACCUUCGGGUUGUAAACCGCUUUCAGUAGGGAAGAAGCGAAAGUGACGGUACCUACAGAAGAAGCACCGGCUAACUAUGUGCCAGCAGCCGCGGUAAUACAUAGGGUGCAAGCGUUGUCCGGAAUUAUUGGGCGUAAAGAGCUCGUAGGUGGUUCGUCACGUCGGAUGUGAAAAUCUGGGGCUCAACCCCAGACCUGCAUUCGAUACGGGCGAUCUAGAGUGUGGUAGGGGAGACUGGAAUUCCUGGUGUAGCGGUGGAAUGCGCAGAUAUCAGGAGGAACACCAAUGGCGAAGGCAGGUCUCUGGGCCAUUACUGACACUGAGGAGCGAAAGCGUGGGGAGCGAACAGGAUUAGAUACCCUGGUAGUCCACGCAGUAAACGGUGGGCACUAGUUGUGGGAACCUUCCACGGUUUCUGCGCGCNGCUACGACAUAGUCGCCCGCCGUCGGGAGGUACGAGUCGCGAGAGUUAAACGUAACGUAAAGUAAGUUAGACGUCGUUGAGACGUUGCCGACGGCGACGACGAGGGAGGAGG